rnacentral:lncRNA from 13 species
UGACAGAAGUUGUUAGCCAUAUACACUUGGAAUUCUUACAGAACUCCAUUAUUGUCUUCUAGCUACAUGACUUGAGUCCCAGGUGGAAGCACAGAGGCACAAGAAGAAGGAAAGAACAAAAAAAAUUGGGAACAGGGCAAGGAUGCUUCAUCUCACCACUUCUAUUCAGCACCGUACUGGAAUUCCCAUCCCAGUUAAUGCAUGAAGACAUGAAAAGGAAAUGACAGGUACAAAGAUGGGGACUAAAGAGACAAACAUUAACUAUAGUGUCUAUGGCUGCAUGCUUAUGUGAUACGGCCCUAAAGGAAAGAAAACCAUCCUGAGAUCCUAUAUCUCAAUCACGGUUGGCGAAGCUGAGGACCAUAACCAGGGGGCCAUGUCAAUGAAAGCUAUUGGAACCCAACAGGCCUGAGUCCCUGAGGCUCUCCUACACAACACAGCAGCCCUUGCCUGAAUGCCUCUGGACUUCUAGCUAGGUUACAACACUAUUGUUUUAGGUCUCUAUCAGCUACAGAAAA